GGCCUCCUGGUGUUUACCACAGGCUGUGUUCUUACACUAACUGUAUAGAAAGAGGAGGGAAAGUAAACCUACCCUGCAUACUCAUCAGACCAAGCCAUGUGCCUGGUUUGUAUUGUGAAUGGGGAGACAUGG
rnacentral:snoRNA from 1 species